rnacentral:rRNA from 1 species
UGAGGAAUAUUGGGCAAUGGGCGCAAGCCUGACCCAGCCAUGCCGCGUGAAGGAUGAAUGCCCUAUGGGUUGUAAACUUCUUUUGUACGGGACAAAACUCUUGGUCGUGACCGGGAUUGAUGGUACCGUACGAAUAAGCAUCGGCUAACUCCGUGCCAGCAGCCGCGGUAAUACGGAGGAUGCAAGCGUUAUCCGGAUUUAUUGGGUUUAAAGGGUGCGUAGGCGGAAUAAUAAGUCAGCGGUGAAAUCCUGUGGCUCAACCAUAGAAUUGCCAUUGAUACUGUUAUUCUUGAGUAUAGUUGAAGUGGGCGGAAUGUGUAAUGUAGCGGUGAAAUGCUUAGAUAUUACACAGAACAUCAAUUGCGAAGGCAGCUCACUAAGCUGUUACUGACGCUGAGGCACGAAAGCGUGGGGAGCAAACAG